rnacentral:rRNA from 1 species
UGCCAGCAGCCGCGGUAAUACUGAAGGUGCAAGCGUUAAUCGGAAUCACUGGGCGUAAAGCGCUCGUAGGUGGCCUUGUAAGUCAGAUGUGAAAGCCCACGGCUCAACCGUGGAAUUGCAUUUGAUACUGCAUCGCUAGAGUAUAGGAGAGGGAAGUGGAAUUUCUGGUGUAGGAGUGAAAUCCGUAGAGAUCAGAAGGAACACCGGUGGCGAAGGCGACUUCCUGGACUAUUACUGACCCUGAGGAGCCAAAGCGCCGGCAUCUAACCGGAUCAGAUA